rnacentral:rRNA from 1 species
UACAGAGGGUGCAAGCGUUGUUCGGAAUUAUUGGGCGUAAAGAGCUUGUAGGCGGUUUGUCGCGUCUGCUGUGAAAUUUCGGGGCUCAACCCCGAACUUGCAGUGGGUACGGGCAGACUAGAGUGUGGUAGGGGAGACUGGAAUUCCUGGUGUAGCGGUGAAAUGCGCAGAUAUCAGGAGGAACACCGAUGGCGAAGGCAGGUCUCUGGGCCACUACUGACGCUGAGAAGCGAAAGCGUGGGGAGCGAACAGG